rnacentral:rRNA from 1 species
UACAGAGGGUGCAAGCGUUGUUCGGAAUUACUGGGCGUAAAGCGCGCGCAGGCGGAUCCUGUAAGUCGGAACGGUGAAAAUCUCACUGCUCAACGGUGAGACUGCUACUGAUACUGCGGAUCUGGAGACCGGUAGAGGCUGGAUAGAAUUGCAGGUGUAGCGGUGGAAUGCGUAGAGAUGUGGAGGAACACCGAUGGCGAAGGCAGCCCCCUGGGUCAAGACUGACGCUCGAUGCACGAAAGCGUGGGGAGCAAACAGG